rnacentral:rRNA from 1 species
GACGAACGCUGGCGGCGUGCUUAACACAUGCAAGUCGAACGGAAAGGCACUGCGUUUGUGGGGUGCUCGAGUGGCGAACGGGUGAGUAACACGUGAGUAACCUGCCCUUGACUUUGGGAUAACUUAAGGAAACUGGGGCUAAUACCGGAUAGGAGCUCCUGCUGCAUGGUGGGGGUUGGAAAGUUUCGGCGGUUGGGGAUGGACUCGCGGCUUAUCAGCUUGUUGGUGGGGUAGUGGCUUACCAAGGCUUUGACGGGUAGCCGGCCUGAGAGGGUGACCGGCCACAUUGGGACUGAGGUACGGCGCAGACUCCUACGGGAGGCAGCAGUGGGGAAUAUUGCACAAUGGGCGGAAGCCUGAUGCAGCAACGCCGCGUGCGGGAUGACGGCCUUCGGGUUGUAAACCGCUUUCGCCUGUGACGAAGCGUGAGUGACGGUAAUGGGUAAAGAAGCACCGGCUAACUACGUG